CCAGCCUCGCUGCCGCCUUGCAGUUUGAUCUCAGACUGCUGUGCUAGCAAUCAGCGAGACUCCCUGUGAGUAGGACCCUCCGAGCCAGGUGCGGCUUAUAAUCUCGUGGUGCGCCGUUUUUUAAGCCGGUCGGAAAAGCGCAGUAUUCGGGUGGGAGUGACCCGAUUUUCCAGGUUGAUUUUUGAGUAGUGAACCAGCUUUGCAUUCCUGGGCAAUGCUUCCACACAGGACAUAGUUCAGAAGGCAUUAGAAGGCAUAGAGUAAAAAGUGAAUAAGAAUGGUCUUCUUACAUAAUGCAGGGAUGGAAGAAGAUACUUGGAAAAAUCAGGGAAGAGUGAAGAAGAUACUUCAAAAAAUCGGGGAAGAUUUUCAUCAUAAGGUCCAAGCAAAGGCAUGAGUAUAAGAUGUGUAUUCCUGAGCCUGAGUCUACUGACAAAUAUACCACAUCCCCAGAGUAAGUUGGAGUCUCUUAAAAUUGUCUUGCUGGCAUCUAGCGGAGAUUGUCCCCACAAGCAUGUUCCUUAUGACGGAUGCCUGGGUCAGAACACAUAAUACAUUCCUUUUUAUAAGCACAAAGAUUCUGAGAAGCACUGCCCCUCCCACGUGUCACACUCUGGGGAGAGAUUAUUGGAAUGCCUCUUGGAUCAGGUAUCUUUGGUGAUCAUUCCACCUAGUUAAGAUGAAGCUGGUGAUAGCCUUUGGCUU
ensembl:lncRNA LINC01876 long intergenic non-protein coding RNA 1876